rnacentral:rRNA from 1 species
UACAGAGGUCUCAAGCGUUGUUCGGAUUCAUUGGGCGUAAAGGGUGUGUAGGUGGCGCGCUAAGUCGGGUGUGAAAUUUCGGAGCUUAACUCCGAAACUGCAUUCGAUACUGGCGUGCUUGAGGACUGGAGAGGAGACUGGAAUUCAUGGUGUAGCAGUGAAUGCGUAGAGAUCAUGAGGAAGACCAGUGGCGAAGGCGGGUCUCUGGACAGUUCCUGACACUGAGACACGAAGGCCAGGGGGGAGCAAACGGG